UAUAAGUGUAUAGACCUAACAAUAUAACUGCAGUGCGUGUCCUGAAGUGAACUAUUAACAAGACAGGCACUUGUGAACACGCGUGCAUCACAGGCGCAAAGAGAGUAGCCAACCAAAUGGGGCACACUUGGUUGCCAUUAAAGGCCAUCUGUUAUAAAUGACGUUUCUUUCUCACUUAGUGCUAGUGAUAGCGUGCAAAGCCACUUAUUGCCUGCUAUUUUUAUUGAGGAGGCAUGGAUUAUCUCCCUUUCAAGGUGGUUUCUUGUCUUCCUGAGGAAGGUCGCUUUCUCCAGCAGUGGCGCGCAACAGGUCUGCCGGGAUGGUCGGCCAAGUGGCCGCCCAUGCCGCUGUUGACCGCAGCUCUGUCGCACGAUCGUUGAAGCACCGUCCCGUUUGUCCGAUAUACACCCUGUCGCAGCUUAGGUGAAUAUUCUAUACCACAUCGCUAAAAUAAUCAGUGUAGCGUGUGGCGUGUUUCUUGGAGCAUGUAGCUGGUGUGCUGUUAUCGCCCGCCUGUGUGCGGCGUGCAACGUCACAACAGAUAGCUGGUCGACCACUGUGAUUGCCAAGCUACUUGUGACACGUGACGUCCCCAGAAUGUAUAUUAUCGGCCAGCACAAUGAACGAGGGACUUUUUCCCUUUCGUCACCCGGACCACGGCUCAUCGACUGUUCCUUCCGACACGCAUACGCGUCACGCUCGUAUGCCGUGUCACGACAUGGUGUCAGAAGUGGGCGGUGGUCAACUAUCUCGCUGAGGCCGUGGACGGCAGCAUUUCCAGAAAAUGGCGAACAAGCCCGCAACGGUAAUCCCCGGGCUCCAACAGCCACCACCGCUGGACUUUGACAAAAAGUCAGAGUGGCCGGCGUGGAUCGACCACUUCGAUGACUACCGCUUCGCCACAGCUCUCAACGAAUGUUCGGGAGAGGCCCAGACGCCAGCAACGGCCAGAAGAGUCGGUGGAUCAGUUCGCAACCGCACUUCACGUGCUGGCAGACCGCUGCGAUUUUGGGGAUAUGAAGAAGAGACUCAUCCGGGACAGGUUUGUCGUCGGGCUCCGGGACGUGCAACUAUCCGAGGCCUUGCAGAUGGAUCCGCAGCUGACAUUGGCUACGGCGCUAGCCAUGGCUCGCCUCAAGGAAACCGUGCGUCAGCAGCAGAGCCUUCGACCGGAGGGUGUCCACAUCGGGAGCCCGCCAGAACUUCAGGACCAAGGCGCCAUCGUGGACGCCGUAGGCCACCAGAAACGCCCGCAGCACAAAAAGGGACGGUGCCCCUACUGCGUCGGCGACGCGCCCCCGAGGUCGACGUGCCCAGCCAAGGCUUCCAAGUGCCACUACUGUGGUAACAAAGGACAUUUUGCGAAAGCCUGCCUUAAGAAAGUUGGGUCAGCGCAAAGAAAGGUACGCGUCUGGGCUGUCGAACAUGGUCCUGGGGAAGCUUUCAUUGGCGCGAUUGACGCGGCCGGGAAAGCGCGAUAUGUGCAGGUUCUGAUAAACUCUGUGCCUAUUCUUGCUAAUGUUGAUUCGGGUGCAGAAGUGUCGGUUCUACCUUCUACAUUUCCAGGAUUGCCCACCCACCUGGAUAACGCACACGAGGUACUACAGGGGGCUGGCGGGAACAAGCUCAAUGUUCUAGGCAAAUUUGUCGCAGAGAUUGCGUGGAAACAGGACUGUCCGACAAACGUGCUAUGUCGUUAGCCCUCUUCGCGACGUACUUCUCGGGCUGCCAGCCUUAGAGGCUUUAGGUAUCGUUAAAUUUGCCGACUCGCUCACUGCAGACAAGCAACGGUGUGAGACACUUUUUCCGCGCAUGAGUCGUAGUCUAGGCACUAUCCCAGGAGAAUACACCAUCAGGCUACAACCGGGCGCAAUUCCACAUGCCAUAACCGCUCCGCGGCGAGUGCCGAUUCCGCUCAUGGAAACGCUAAAGCACGAAAUAGACUCGUGCGCAUGGGCAUAAUUAGAAAGGUAGACGGCCCCACGGAUUGGUGCGCAGGAAUAAUACUGGUAAUGAAACAGUCGGGGGAACUGAGUAUGCGUCGACCUCACAAAGUUAAAUAAGUGCGUCGUUCGUGAACGCUUCACGCUACCUACGGUCAAUCAAGCAUUAGGCUCUCUGGUGGGUGCGAAAUGGUUUUCGAAGCUUGACGCCUUCUCGGGGUUCCAUCAAGUCCGACUAAGUAGGGACUCUGAAGAACUAACUACGUUCUUGACUCCAUUCGGGAGGUACUGUUUUACCAGACUACCGUUCGGAAUUACGUCCGCUCCGGAGUAUUUCCAGAAAAGGAUGUCAGAAAUUCUAUGGGGCCUGCCAGGUGUUGUCAACGUCAUGGAUGACAUUUUAGUGUUUGGUAAUACGAAAGCCCAGCAUGACGAACGUUUAGCUGAUGUUCUGUCACGCCUAGCUAGCGCAAACGUGACUCUGAACAAAGAUAAGUGCCUGUUCGGCGUUAAUAAACUGAAAUUUUUGGGCCAUAUUCUGAAUGAGAACGGAAUUGAGCCUGAUCCAGCGAAGGUCAGCGCUAUUAAGAAUCUAAACGCACCGAAAAACGUCGCCGAACUGAGCUUGCUCGGCAUGGCCAAUCACCUAGGUCGAUUUUUGCCUCACCUGGCGCAAACUACCGCUCCGAUGCGUGCUCUUUUGCACAAAGACAGCGAAUGGGUCUGGGGGUGUGACCAAGCAAAAGCGCUGAACGAGCUAAAAGAGCUCAUUUGUUCUGCGCAGUGCAUGGCCGUGUACGAUGCAACGCUUCCUACCAUCCUUUCAGCGGACGCAUCCUCUUUCGGACUGGGAGCUGUUCUUUUUCAAACACAGAAAAACGGUCACCGUAGACCAAUAGCUUGCGCGUAUCGUUCUCUCACGAACACAGAACGGCGAUACUUCCAGAUAGAAAAAGAAGCGCUAGCGCUGACGUGGGCAGCCGAAAGAUUUGAGGAGUACAUCCGUGGCCUAAACGUUACCUUUGAAACUGAUCACAAGCCUUUAGUGUCUUUACUGGGCCAGAUGACCAUUGAUGAUAUACCCCCUCGAAUUCAACGCUUCCGGCUACGCCUUAUGCGAUAUCUUUUCACGGUCCAGUACGUUCCCGGCAAAUCGCUAGUCACAGCCGACACCCUCUCGCGAUCGCCUGUAGCAGGCAGCGAUUCUGAAAAAGGCUUGAGUGUGUCAGAUAUCACAGCGUACUCUAAGGCGUGUUUGCUUGGCUUGGAAACGGGGGACAAUUUUUUAUCCAGAGUGAGAGAAUGUCAAAUUAAUGAUCCCGUUUGCAAACACCUGCGCAGACUGCGCAAAACCAAUUUGCCAAGGAAACCGAAUGUUCCUUCUUUCCUCAUGCCUUACUGGCAAGAUAGAGCAUGCCUUAGCAUCACUGAUGGUCUCUUGUUGAAAGGAACAAGGCUUGUAAUCCCACAGUCUCUAAGAACGGAAGUGCUGUGUAGACUACAUGAUGGGCACCAGGGUAUCGUGCGUUGUCGUAAUGUUGCUAAUGGUUCUGUCUGGUGGCCAGGAUUGAGCACCGAUCUGGCACAAUUCGUGAAUCAGUGCACUAUUUGCGCACGACAUGCCCAGCAACUAGCCGAGCCCAUCAUAGCAACCGCAACACCAUCGUUUCCUUGGGAGAGAGUGGGAGUAGAUCUGUGCGUAAUCAACGGCCAGGCAUAUCUUGUCGCCGUGGAUUAUCUUUCACGUUACCCUGGGGUAGCCAUUCUUCCUUCCACAAAGUCGGGAACGGUCAUUGAUAGACUGAAAAGUAUUUUUUCUAGGCAUGGAAUCCCUGAGUGCGUGGUGACCGACAACGGUCCUCAGUUCGUGGCAACUGAGUUUGAACAGUUUGCUAUGUCCUACGGGUUUCACCAUGUCACCGUGAGUCCGAGGCACCCGCAGGGCAACGGGGAAGUAGAGCGAAUGGUUCAGACGGUUAAGCACCUCCUUCUAAAGUCUAAAGACCCGUAUCUGGCAUUGUUGGCUUACAGGGCGACGCCCGGCAUUCUUGGGGUCAGUCCUGCGGAAAUACUUAUGGGUAGGCGACUGAGGACAAGAGUCCCAAUGCUACCACGUCAUCUAAAUCCGGGAAAAAGCAGCCCGAAAGUCGUGGCCAGAGACCAGACGGUGAGACGGCGGCAAUGCCGCUACUACAACCGACGCCAUCAGGCCAGACGGCUUCCCGAGCUAGAAGCAGGUGACUUGGUCUGGGUGACAGACAUGCAAUCCAAGGCCACAGUCCUCACACGAGCACCGAAACCGCGGCCAUAUGUGGUGCGAACAGACGACGGCGUUUGCCUCCGCAGAAACAGGAGAAUGCUUAACCGUCUCCCAAAAGAAAAGGCGCACAUGAAAACUUACGAAUUUCCAGAAACCGCGGAGCAGCCGAGCGCGGCACAAUUGGCUCAUAGCCCAGAUGGCGCUACUGCAACAGAUUCAGUGGGGCCUCCAACUCGCGCUGUGGCCAGUGGUGACCCCACUCACACUGUAACACGGUUUGGUAGACUGGUGAAGAAACCCAUCCGACUGGGCUUUGAUGAGUAGUGCUUUGGUGUUCAGUGCUCAGUGUUUUUCUAGUACAAAAUAUGUUCUGUCUUGCAUUUUCCAAUGUUCUUGUGUGGUGAAGAAAUCCAUACGACUUUGAGUGGUUUGCUGUUUUGUUUUUUUCUGGUAUAACAUAUAUUCUCUACCAUGUAUGUGCGAAUUUUCCUGUGCUUGAGAAAGAGGGAUGUGCUGUUGUCGCCCGCCUGUGUGCGGCCUGCAACGUCACGACAGAUAGCUGGUCGACCCCUGCGAUUGCCAAGCUACUUGUGACACGUAACGUCCCCAGAAUGUAUAUUAUCGGCCAGCACAAUAAACGGGGGACUUUUUCCCUUUCGUCACCCGGA